GCUGUGGUCCAUGUGAGCAGUGACUGUAGGGAGAACGGCCUGUUCCCAGCUCCUAACCCCAAGGCGGAGCAUCUGCCUCUGCGGUCGGACACACACGGGCCUCAGGUUCUUAGCCAUGUGGCCAAGCCUCCUCCCUCAGACCCGAUCUCUCCUCCUUUGCACUAGUGCAGUCACAGCCCCAGAAACGCAGGGGUCACGUCUGCUCCCCACAGCCUUGGUGAGCAGCCGUAUCUGCAACAAGAGACUCUGCUCCUCCCUCCUCUUCACUCUUUCCGUGGGGUUAGAUUGACCUCCCAAGCACAGCAACGAAGCCCAUGCCGGAGAAGAGGAGAAGGAGGGACGUGGCGCAGGCCAGCAAUGACAAUCAGAGACAUCCUCACCACUUGGAGACACAUCUGUCCCAUGGCCUGGACAGUGACAUUUUCGGGACAGGACACCAACUCUUCUGAACAAUUGGAGACCCCAUGCCAAGCAUGAUCUCUCUGGAUUCCCCCCUUUCUGAAGCCUGCAGAACACCCUCCUAACGCCCGCAGAACGCCCUCCUCGAACUGGCAUUUUCCUUCAGACGGACAGUGAUGCUGUUGCUUCUCUAAGUUGCAAUCACAAUUGCGUCAGCUCCUCUGAGGUUCCUCCCAGGUCUCCUUAAUUGGAUUUGGAACAUUUGCAGACAGACAGUCGCCUAAGGUAACUUCUA
rnacentral:lncRNA from 1 species